ensembl:lncRNA
CACGGAGCAAAGCUUCCUCGCUCGGGCAUCUCCAAGGUUUCCGCCUGGGAGCGCAUCCACGGCACUGUCAACUUCGGCACGGCAUCGCGAAAGACAGACACCAGCCACCCGCGACAGGAGACACUGGCGCCGGAGAACAUGCUGGCGUACUUUGUGCCGCGCAGUUAAACAGCAAAAGGCACUGAAUGAAGAGCGCGCGCACACCCGAGCGACGGAGCAAAACAAGGACGAGCGCAGAGGCUUCGGGAACACUUCAGGAGGAGCACCUGGCUAUACUCAAAAGAUCUCAUUAGACUGUGAUGAGCGUCAUCAUCUUCCACAGACUCAAGGUUGGAUUUUUUUUUUUUCUAUCUCAUUUUGCAUCACGCUGUUGUGCAUGCUAACUUCAUUUUCCUUAUUUUUCGCCU